rnacentral:rRNA from 1 species
UCGCUACUACCGAUUGAAUGGUUUAGUGAGGCCUUCGGAUUCGCGACUCGUUUGUGAAGAAGUUGGACAAACUCAGUCAUUUAGAGGAAGUAA